rnacentral:rRNA from 1 species
CACGUAGGGGGCGAGCGUUGUCCGGAAUUACUGGGUGUAAAGGGUGCGUAGGCGGCCUUGCAAGUCAGAUGUGAAAGAUCACGGCUUAACUGUGGUAAGCAUUUGAAACUGUAAGGCUUGAGUGCAGGAGAGGAGAGUGGAAUUCCUAGUGUAGCGGUGAAAUGCGUAGAUAUUAGGAAGAAUAUCAGUGGCGAAGGCGGCUCUCUGGACUGCAACUGACGCUGAGGCACGAAAGCGUGGGGAGCAAACAGGAUUAGAUACCCUGGUAGUCCACGCUGUAAACGAUGAGUGCUAGGUGUCGGGGGUCAUACCUCGGUGCCGCAGUUAACGCAUUAAGCACUCCACCUGGGGAGUACGGCCGCAAGGCUGAA